rnacentral:lncRNA from 1 species
UUGAAAUCUAGAUUGGAUGAAUACUAGAUAGGCUAGCCUAAUACUUGAGCCACCUAUGCGGUCUUAAAUAUUUAAUGGUCAAAAGAUGGCACUUGGGACUGAAAAAUAUAUUUUAUCAGUUUAAUUUUUAAGUUUCUUAACGAAAUUUCGUUUGCAAGUUGAAAUUCAAACUAAAUACCUAUCCAUUUCUAUAAAUAUUCAAUCCUAAUGAUUCAAAAUAACAACAACACCAUUCUCUCUACGGUUUUCUGAAUAACAAGGAUCAUCUUUAGUGGUAUUUGCUGCAGAAGGC